AAAGUCGUAACAAGGUUUCCGUAGGUGAACCUGCGGAAGGAUCAUUACAUUCAGUAGCCUAGCUACUUGUUUACACCCUUGUUUUUUUGGCGCACCCAAUUGUAUCCUCGGCGGGCUUGCUCGCCGGUUGGACCACUACUAUAACCUUUUUAAUCUUCAAUCAGCGUCUGAAUUAUACAUAAUAAUUACAACUUUCAACAACGGAUCUCUUGGUUCUG
rnacentral:misc_RNA from 1 species